rnacentral:rRNA from 1 species
AGCUUGCUGGGGUUGAUUAGUGGCGAACGGGUGAGUAACACGUGAGUAACCUGCCCUCCACUUCGGGAUAACGCCUGGAAACGGGUGCUAAUACCGGAUAUGACGCGUCCUCGCAUGGGGGUGUGUGGAAAGGGUUUUUCUGGUGGGGGAUGGGCUCGCGGCCUAUCAGCUUGUUGGUGGGGUGAUGGCCUACCAAGGCGGUGACGGGUAGCCGGCCUGAGAGGGUGACCGGCCACACUGGGACUGAGAUACGGCCCAGACUCCUACGGGAGGCAGCAGUGGGGAAUAUUGCACAAUGGGCGGAAGCCUGAUGCAGCGACGCCGCGUGAGGGAUGACGGCCUUCGGGUUGUAAACCUCUUUCGGUGGGGAAGAAGGCCUUUCGGGGUUGACGGUACCUGCAGAAGAAGCGCCGGCUAACUACGUGCCAGCAGCCGCGGUAAUACGUAGGGCGCAAGCGUUGUCCGGAAUUAUUGGGCGUAAAGAGCUCGUAGGCGGCCUGUCGCGUCUGCUGUGAAAGCCCGGGGCUCAACCCCGGGUCUGCAGUGGGUACGGGCGGGCUGGAGUGCGGUAGGGGAGACUGGAAUUCCUGGUGUAGCGGUGGAAUGCGCAGAUAUCAGGAGGAACACCGGUGGCGAAGGCGGGUCUCUGGGCCGUUACUGACGCUGAGGAGCGAAAGCAUGGGGAGCGAACAGGAUUAGAUACCCUGGUAGUCCAUGCCGUAAACGUUGGGCACUAGGUGUGGGGCC